GUAAACACCACCACUGUUUCCCAGCUGAGCCUCAGCAGAGCACAGCACAGCAGGCCACAACACACAAAUGAAGGGGCAACGGGGAAGAUUCACUUGGAGACAGGCAGACAAAGAGACGCAACGAGUGACAAGCAGAGAAGCCAAUAACAUGCCAUGCCACUAAGAAAGAUGCCUUGCGGGGCGUCAGCGAAGGGCAAGACUUCUCCUCAGCCUUUCCGUGUAAAUAUAGAUCAACAAGAUUUCUUCAUUUUGAACACGAGGAACACUGUUGAGAACCUGGUUGAUCAUCUCUGUGGCCUUUGAAAAUUGUCGUGAUGAGAGAGCGAAGCGUUUCAUAAUACGUGUAAUGGUUGGGGUGAAGAGAGGUUUACUUUAAUAAUCUGACCUCUCGUUGCCACACCAGAUCCUUGAUGCUGAAAUAAACAGGAGAGAUUCAGAAUUCCAGAGCUAAACGGCAAUGCAGUCACCAAAUAGGUUACGUAUAUCCCCUACACCACAGACGAUAACAAUGACAACGACGAUUACAGUGAUGACAGAGGCGGCGAGGACGUGGAUUGUGGACGGCGAAUGAUAACACUCAAGGCGACCACACCAGCCCAACCCUCCGUCACACCACUAUCCAUCACACGGCCCACACACGGCACCCUCCAGGCCAGACCCCCAAGAAUAUGUUUGGGACGCACAUCAUCAGAACAUCUAUUGUGGUCCCCGCGGCGGCCUACCCGUCAACCUGUCCCCUUCAGUACAGAUACAAAGGAACACUAUUGUUAUCAUUACUCUGGACGACAACAACAUCAGUAGAUCCAUAUAUGACGGCUCCCUCACUCCCUCCCUUCGUUCCUUCCUUCCAGACCUUAGCCAUCAUAACAGCCACGUGGCACCCCUCGCCCCGCCACCCGUCACUCUCCACCCUCUCCCUUACAGUCCACACAAACGGAGCUGCUUUACAGAGGCUGCGGUUGUUAGUUAAAUCAAUUAUUUCCGGUAUUUCGAAUCAAGGCAUUCAGGCGCGUCGGUUUCACGUCGUGGUUGGCAGAGUGACAGAACUGUGGCCGCGGAAGCAAAAGAGAGAGAGAGAGAGAGAGAGAGAGAGAGAGAGAGAGAGAGAGAGAGAGA